UCCCUGGUGGUCCAGUGGUUAAGACUCUGCUCUUCCAUUGCAGAGGGCGCGGGUUUGAUCCCUGGCCAGGGAA
rfam:Ovis aries breed Texel chromosome 11, whole genome shotgun sequence.